CGAACGGAACUGGGGGAGCCCAAUCCCGGAUUUUUCCAACUACUUGAGGGCAUGACAGUAAUUGUAUCUAAAUUAGGGUUUUCUUGUGAGCUCUUCUGCCGUCCCUUCUAUCACUAUAUAUUUGUGGCUAUACCCUCCAUAUUGUAUGGUAGGAAUUUUACAGGAGCGGCUGGCGAUCACUGACCAACCUCAGCAUCAUAUGUAAUUUUGUUCAGAGAUAUCAGGCGGUCGAUAAUGGAAAAAUUUAUGAGCAGGCGGUCGAUAAUUCCAUCGAAACCUUUACCUACUGCUUGCUGGUACAAAUCCCACAUUACGAGGUUGUUUUAGCUCUACUGUUUUCAAAAUCAAAAAAUGCAUUUUGAAUUAGUGUAAUGAUAGAGGAUUUGUGAUUAUAGAAUAAUGAAAAUUUUUGAUUUUGCUUAUAAUAUUAUUAUAUUGAAAAAUGUGUGAUUGAAAUAGAGUCAAAAUGUUAUUAAA